rnacentral:rRNA from 1 species
AGCGAACGCUGGCGGCAGGCUUAACACAUGCAAGUCGAGCGGGCCCUUCGGGGUCAGCGGCCGACGGGUGAGUAACACGUGGGAACGUACCCUUUGGUUCGGAAUAACGCUGGGAAACUAGCGCUAAUACCGGAUACGCCCUUUUGGGGAAAGGCUUGCUGCCGAAGGAUCGGCCCGCGUCUGAUUAGCUAGUUGGUGGGGUAAUGGCCUACCAAGGCGACGAUCAGUAGCUGGUCUGAGAGGAUGAUCAGCCACACUGGGACUGAGACACGGCCCAGACUCCUACGGGAGGUAGCAGUGGGGAAUAUUGGACAAUGGGCGCAAGCCUGAUCCAGCCAUGCCGCGUGAGUGAUGAAGGCCUUAGGGUUGUAAAGCUCUUUUGUCCGGGACGAUAAUGACGGUACCGGAAGAAUAAGCCCCGGCUAACUUCGUG